CACUACAAGAAAAGGCCAAAACAACGACGGCUUCACUGCGACGGUUCUAAAAACGGUUGUUAUUCUUGUAGUCAGCGACGGUUUAAAACGGUCGUUGCCACCGACGGCUUUUAGAGUGAUCAGCGACGGAUAAACCGUCGUUGUUUAUCAACGACCGUUUAGAACAGUCGUUAGUUUUAUUAUUAUAAUUUUUAGAUUUUUUCAAUUUAAGGAACUGUGUUAAACGGUCGCUGAUGAGUGAUGACAAAACAAAGUUUCGUGUUCUUCAGAUCUGCUCUCUCUCUCCUCAUUCCUCCCUCUCCUUACUCAACCGGUCAACCCUAAUCCCUCAUCUCUCUCCUCUUCAGAUCUGCUCCUUCCUCCUCCCUCUCAAUCCAACAGAGCAACGAACGCUUAUUGAAGAGAUAGAGACUGAGGAGAGAGAAAGUGAAACGGAAAAAAGAGAAUCCAAAAAAAGGGUUUCAACUCCAUCUCUAAGAAGGGUUUAGGUGGGAAAUUCAUGAGUCCCUCGGCUGUGAAAAUGGAGGAAUCAAAGCCUGCAAUUUUGAACAGUGAGAACGGUUGUGAAAUCGGAGCUCGAUUCACUGAAAUCUGCAAUGUUCAAUGUCUUCUUAUCGACAGCACCACCUGACCAUCUCACCAAGUUGUACAUACACAAGCCCAUUAUUUAUCUGAUGAUGCAGCAAGCCAUCAAGGAAGGGAAGUUAGUCCCUGCUGCAAAACAUUUUUGUAAUUUAUGAGAGUUAGAAUAUGUGAAGAAAUGUGACUUUGAAGCUUUUGUUGUCACAACAUACUUAUGAUCUUUGUGGUCAUCUUCAAUCUUGCGUCUUCUGACUUUUAGGGAGUUUUUGUGUAAAUUAGUUAUUUAGUUUAUAAAGUACUUUGACCAAUACUGUGGAAUGGCAAAAAAAUUAUGUCUACAA